CCUUUCGCCACCGAAGUGACAAUUAAAUUGGAAUUUUUUGUUUCUUUUAAUUAGAUUAAUUAAAUUUUGUUCUUCUUUUAAUUCUCAAUAAUUAAUUGUUUCUUUUUGCGAUUGUUUACUGGACAUAGGCUUUGUUUUAUUCUCUUGUUGAUUCGUUAAUUUAAUUAACUAAUUUAACCAUGAAUUUUGUGGAUUUUUUCUUCUAUUUUCUUGGUGGCAAUUGUUUUUCUAUGUUUAGUCAACAAAUGGACAACCUUGGAAUCAACCUCGAAAUUAGUUAAUCAUUAAGGUUGUGUUGGUCUAUGAGAGUAAAUCUAUUGGAGGCUAAGGAUGGUAUCAUUUAAUUUUAAUGGUUGCAAUUCAUGUCCUCCCUUGUUAACGGCUUGUAUAUGACAUUGAAUUGGAAUGAGUUUGAUGGUGAUUGGAAGAAGAGGGGUGAACCUUUCUAAACGAUUCUUGAGAUGUUCUUCUAUCAUGGCGAGAUAAUCCACAGAUUAAUUUAACAUGAUCAUAUCGAGCAGAUCUACAGAUAAAUUGUCUCUCAGUGUAACAAGCGAUCAAACAAUCAUCUUCACUUUUAAUGUGAUACAAUAGUU